rnacentral:rRNA from 1 species
UACGGAGGGGGCUAGCGUUAUUCGGAAUUACUGGGCGUAAAGCGUACGUAGGCGGUGGUUCAAGUCAGAGGUGAAAGCCCGGAGCUCAACUCCGGAACUGCCUUUGAAACUAGAUCGCUAGAACAUCGGAGAGGUAAGUGGAAUUCCGAGUGUAGAGGUGAAAUUCGUAGAUAUUCGGAAGAACACCAGUGGCGAAGGCGGCUUACUGGACGAUUGUUGACGCUGAGGUACGAAAGCGUGGGGAGCAAACAG